rnacentral:rRNA from 1 species
ACGUAGGGUGCAAGCGUUAAUCGGAAUUACUGGGCGUAAAGCGUGCGCAGGCGGUUUUGUAAGUCAGAUGUGAAAUCCCCGGGCUUAACCUGGGAACUGCGUUUGAAACUACAAGGCUAGAGUGUGGCAGAGGGGGGUGGAAUUCCACGUGUAGCGGUGAAAUGCGUAGAGAUGUGGAGGAACACCUGUGGCGAAGGCGGCAUCCUGGACCGAGAUUGACGCUGAGACGCGAAAGCGUGGGGAGCGAACAGGA